GCCCGAGUAGCUCAGUCGGUAGAGCAACGCUCUCGUAAAGCGUAGGUCAGGAGUUCAAAUCUCCUCUCGGGCU
rnacentral:tRNA from 1 species